UGUCGGGGUUGAGUCACGCCUUGGCAGCGGCCAGCCCUGCACAGAUUUCCUUUUUUUUUUUUUUGAAGUGCACUUUUCUUUUCCAGAUCCACAGACAAGGGACCUUUAUCAGCUUUCGACUUCAUCUCCGCCCCAGAAAAGCUGCACCCGGCCCAGUCCUGCCAGAGGAAGCUUCCAGAAGGUCUUCAUCUGGGGACUUGGAGCUUCCAGUGGCUGCACUCUCAUCCCAGCUGGAACUUUGUCCCCAGGCCUGCUUAUCUCCAGCCUGACAUUCUUUGGCUGCAGCUUCCCCCGUGGAUGUCAGCGCCCUCCUGCCUGCAGGACUGAGGGAUCCACUCCAAUCUCUCCUCUGGCAGAGGAGGAUCCCUCAUUCCCAGAGACCCCGAGGCAGGAGCGCUGAGUUUCCUGGGAAGCCGUGUGUUCCUAAGGAUCUGUCCCGGCCUGGAAUCCCCCAUGGAUUUAGGAAGCACCCAGGGUAAGCUGCUGAAAAAGCUGCUUUUCUCCAAGUUUUGAAGUUUGCUUUUCCCCCAGCCAGAGGAACGAGUCCAAACCCCUGGACGUGGAACAGGCAACAUCUCCUGUUGAAUUUUGCCGUUGCUAUGGCGAUUGAUUAAAUAAAAUAAACCCCCCCCUCCA
rnacentral:lncRNA from 1 species